CGCCCACCCCACGUUGAAACACCUGUUCCCGUACGAACACCGAUGUUAAGCAACGUCGACCCUGUUCAGUACCUAGUUGGGUGACUCCUUGCGAACACAUGGUGA